UUGGAGGGCAAGUCUGGUGCCAGCAGCCGCGGUAAUUCCAGCUCCAAUAGCGUAUAUUAAAGUUGUUGCAGUUAAAAAGCUCGUAGUUGAAUUUCGGGAUCAAUAUAUCGGUCGUGCCUUGGUACGUACUGGUAUCAUUGGUUUCUCCUUUCUGACGAACCAUGAUGUCAUUAAUUUGGUGUUAUGGGAAGUUAGGACUGUUACUUUGAAAAAAUUAGAGUGUUUAAAGCAGGCUUUAGCUUGAAUACAUUAGCAUGGAAUAAUGAAAUAGGACGUUCGAACCUAUUUUGUUGGUUUCUAGGAUCAACGUAAUGAUUAAUAGGGAUAGUUGGGGGCAUUAGUAUUCAAUUGUCAGAGGUGAAAUUCUUGGAUUUAUUGAAGUCUAACUACUGCGAAAGCAUUUGCCAAGGAUGUUUUCAUUAAUCAAGAACGAAAGUUAGGGGAUCGAAGACGAUCAGAUACCGUCGUAGUCUUAACCAUAAACUAUGCCGACUAGGGAUCGGAUGAUGUUAAUUUUUUAAUGACUCAUUCGGCGCCUUACGGGAAACCAAAGUGUUUGGGUUC
rnacentral:rRNA from 1 species